AGGUGAGGUAGAGGUCGCGGAGUAUUAAGAGUAUCCAGGAGGAGACGGGGAAAAUCUAUGAGCCCUGGGGAAAGGAAUAUCCGCCGAAGCGUUUGAGUUUCCCACUCAAAUAGCUGGGGUUGCAUCGAAUAGGUGCAGCACUGUCACAGGAAACCGCCUAAUUUUCCUGUGGAGAACUAUCUUACUA
rnacentral:ncRNA from 2 species